rnacentral:rRNA from 1 species
UACGGAGGGGGCAAGCGUUGUUCGGAAUCAUUGGGCGUAAAGGGCGCGUAGGCGGCCGUCCAAGUCGGGUGUGAAAUCCCUCGGCUCAACCGAGGAACUGCACUCGAUACUGGUCGGCUAGAGUCCGGGAGGGGAUGGUGGAAUUCCCAGUGUAGCGGUGAAAUGCGUAGAUAUUGGGAAGAACACCGGUGGCGAAGGCGGCCAUCUGGACCGGAACUGACGCUGAGGCGCGAAAGCGUGGGGAGCAAACAGG